rnacentral:rRNA from 1 species
GACGAACCGUCCAAACGUUAUUCGGAAUCACUGGGCUUAAAGGGUGCGUAGGCGGCCCGGCGAGUUGGGUGUGAAAUCCCUCGGCUCAACCGAGGAAUUGCGCUCAAAACUGCUGGGCUCGAGGGAGAUAGAGGUGAGCGGAACUUAGGGUGGAGCGGUGAAAUGCGUUGAUAUCCUAAGGAACACCGGGGGCGAAAGCGGCUCACUGGGUCUCUUCUGACGCUGAGGCACGACAGCUACGGGAGCGAAUGGG